CCCUUAGAUGUUCUGGGCCGCACGCGCGCUACACUGACUGGUGCAACAAGUGUCGCUCCUUGGCCGAUAGGCCUGGGCAAUCUUUGAACGCCAGUCGUGAUGGGGAUAGAUUCUUGCAAUUUUUGAUCUUCAACGAGGAAUUCCUAGUAAACGCGAGUCAUCAACUCGCAUUGAUUACGUCCCUGCCCUUUGUACACACCGCCCGUCGCACCUACCGAUUGAAUGGUCCGGUGAACCCUCCGGAUCGGCCCGCGCCAACGCAAGUUGAGCAAAGGCCGAGAAGUUGGGUAAACCUUACCAUUUAGAGGAAAGUGAAGUCGUAACA
rnacentral:rRNA from 1 species